rnacentral:rRNA from 1 species
UACGAAGGGGGCUAGCGUUGCUCGGAAUCACUGGGCGUAAAGGGUAGGUAGGUGGUAAUAAAAGUCUGGGGUGAAAUCCCUGAGCUCAACUCAGGACGUGCCUUGGAAACUUUAUUACUAGAGUGCUGGAGAGGUCCGCAGAAUUCCCGGUGUAGCGGUGAAAUGCGUAGAGAUCGGGAGGAAUACCAGAGGCGAAGGCGGCGGACUGGACAGUCACUGACACUCAACUACGAAAGCGUGGGUAGCAAACAGG